rnacentral:rRNA from 1 species
GUGCCAGCCACCGCGGUUAUACGAGAGGCCCAAGUUGAAAGACACCGGCGUAAAGCGUGGUUAAGCUAAAAUUUAAAUUAAAGUUAAACAUCUUCAAGACUGUUAUACGUAUCCGAAGACAGGAACCUCAAUUACGAAAGUAACUUUAUACAAGCUGAACCCACGAAAGCUAUGGCACAAACUGGGA